UUGAAUCAUCAUCCCUAG
rnacentral:sRNA from 1 species